rnacentral:rRNA from 1 species
UACGAAGGGGGCUAGCGUUGUUCGGAAUUACUGGGCGUAAAGCGCGCGCAGGCGGCUAUCCAAGUCAGUGGUGAAAGCCCGGAGCUCAACUCCGGAACUGCCAUUGAAACUGUUUAGCUUGAGGAUGAGAGAGGUGAGUGGAAUUCCCAGUGUAGAGGUGAAAUUCGUAGAUAUUGGGAAGAACACCGGUGGCGAAGGCGGCUCACUGGCUCAUUACUGACGCUGAUGCACGAAAGCUGGGGGAGCAAACAGG